rnacentral:rRNA from 1 species
UACAGAGGGUGCGAGCGUUAAUCGGAAUUACUGGGCGUAAAGCGUGCGUAGACGGUUAUUUAGGUCGGGUGUGAAAGCCCCGGGCUCAACCUGGGAAUUGCAUUCGAGACUGAAUAGCUAGGGUACGGUAGAGGGAAGCGGAAUUUCCGGUGUAGCGGUGAAAUGCGUAGAUAUCGGGAGGAACACCAGUGGCGAAGGCGGCGAUCUGGGAAGAUACUGACGCUGAGGUGCGAAAGCGUGGGGAGCAAACAGG